ensembl:lncRNA LRRC77P leucine rich repeat containing 77, pseudogene
AUUCUUAGUGGACAGCUCUCAUAUCCCCUCCAGGGAAAAUGAUGAAAAAUGUCUUCAGAAAAAUAGCUUUAUGAAGGCAAGAGGACUUUUUGCACCUGCAAGACAUGUCUGAAAGCUCCUCAGGUCAAAACACAAGUAGUCAAGAGAUUUGUCCAUCUAAUUCAUCAUACUACUCUGAUCCAAGUGAGACCCACACUGGGUCAGCUCCAUCAAGGAGAAGAACAUUCCACCCACGUUUGGAUUCUGGAAUAUCAUCCUUGCUUCCAUCAGAUUCUUGUAAGUACCUCACUUGGCACAAGGUAGACAUGACGUUCAAGGAAGUCAACUGCGUUGCCCAAGAGUAAGAGAAGGAAUCUCUGAAGAAGAGCAACUUUUCAGACAGGUAGAGUGUGCCUUGCUCCCAAGGAAAAGAGUUCUUGAAAAAAACAAAUGGGAAACAUGGCUACAAGAAAACUGGGAAGACUGCAAGAAUUUGAACAUUUCAUUUCAGGGUUUGGGGGAUCCUUACCAAGUUGAAAAUUUUAACAGAAUUCUUAGAAGACUAAUUCGAGUUGAAACCCUCUGGUUAGUGGAUAAUUCACUGGUGGACUUAAGUGCCAUAAGAUUGCCAAGCUGCAGAAUUUUAAAUAUGAGCAAAAACCAUCUCAUAUCUUUCAAACAGUUACCAAGGAUACCUCAGAUACAGCAUUUAUCCUUGGCCGAAAACCACAUUGAGACUCUUACUGGAUUCUCCAGUUUACGGUGCACUCCACUGGAAUCCCUUAUUCUCAAGAGGAACCCUUGUGAGUUCCACCAAAAUUACAGGAAGCAAUCCACCAAUAAGAAGACAGCACAAUUCAAAAGAGAAAGGACUUAAUGACAGAGCUAAUAAUAGUAUUCUCCUGUUUGCCAAACUUAAAAAUGCUGGAUGGAAUCUUGAAGCUACCAGAAGAUUGCUUAUCACCAGAAACCAAUAUUUUUUCAAAAAUAUGCCUUGUAUCCUAAUGCAGUCUGUAUAGAAAGAAAGCAAUCAUCAUUGUUGCUAAAAGCUAAUAAACACAGGACAUGCAUGAUUAAAUAUU